UACGAAGGGGCUAGCGUUGCUCGGAAUCACUGGGCGUAAAGGGUGCGUAGGCGGGUCUUUAAGUCAGGGUGAAAUCCUGGAGCUCAACUCCAGAACUGCCUUUGAUACUGAAGAUCUUGAGUUCGGGAGAGGUGAGUGGAACUGCGAAGUGUAGAGGUGAAAUUCGUAGAUAUCGCAAGAACACCAGUGGCGAAGGCGGCUCACUGCC
rnacentral:rRNA from 1 species